GCGCGCUAAUCGGGGAGUCAGCGGUGCCCUGUCGCCUGCAACCCGCUAUAGCAGGGAUGAAUCCCCGCCUGAGGGCGCGGAGUGUGUCGUCUGUUACCGGUAAGUGGCGUUGAAGAAUCGGACUUGCGCAACGAAGGCUCGUGAACCAUGUCAGGCGGGGAACCGAGCAGCAUUAAGCGAUUACCCUCGUGUGCCGCAAGGAACCCGGUUCUGAGCUAACUGCCGGAGAAACGGGCAUAUUCCCAGUUCAGGGGCGGGUGCGCGC
rnacentral:SRP_RNA from 1 species